rnacentral:misc_RNA from 1 species
CCUCCUUAAACGAAGCCGAAUGCUUCGGUCAGAGUCCACACGAAUUACUUGGUUGAUUAAUAAAGAGAGCAGAUGGGUCUAUCAGGCCCGUACCAUUGGGUCUGUAGCUCAGGUGGUUAGAGCGCACCCCUGAUAAGGGUGAGGUCGGUGGUUCAAGUCCACCCAGACCCACCAAAAUUGCUCAACUCCUGGAGUUGGACAAUUUGAGGUAGCUUAAAUGGGGCUAUAGCUCAGCUGGGAGAGCGCCUGCCUUGCACGCAGGAGGUCGGCAGUUCGAUCCUGCCUAGCUCCACCAAUAUUACUGACGCGCCGUUGGGGCGGUUAGUGUACAGAAACAAGCAUUUCGUUUUUAUGACAUCGGUUGUUAAGCGAAGUUCUUCUUUCUGAUCACUGGGUCAAAUUUGCUCUUUAACAAAUUG